ensembl:lncRNA
AUGGACCGCGACGGUUCCUCCUCCGGCGUGGACAGGACUUUCUGGACGGUUUGGUACUACAUAACCGAAGCUGUGAACAGAUUCUUCAACCCGGAGCCCGCCAACGUCCCCGCCAACGUCCCCGCCAACGUCCCCGCCAACGCCAGCGAGCGCGUCGACUCUGGUCCCACCGGAGGUGAUGCCGGCGCAAGGAUCGCCGACGAGGAGCGGCCUCCUGCGACAGCCUCUCUGCUGAGCUCAUCCCGGCCACUUGUUGCCUGGGAAUUUUGCACCACAGAAAUCGACUUAGGAGCUGAAGAAAACGUGGCACACGAAGCCCAGCCGAGCGGAGGCACACAGAGAAAAGCAUCCGGGCAAAGUGAGGGCGCGUGCGGAGGACACGUGGGAAAUGAGGAUGCCGCGCGGCCGACUGCAGAUAAAGACGAACGUGAAGAAAACGGGGAACGUACCUUGAGCGCCGGCAGGAGGGAUGAUGAUGAUGAUGAUGAUGGUGGUGGUGGUCAUGGGGAACAUGCAAACACCAGGUGGCAAAAUCUCACAGGUGAUGCAAUGAGUGACGACGUGGAGGAAAGUGGGAGAGAAGCCGGAGACAAAGAGGAGACAAAGAGGGCAGUGACACCGGAGCAUUUUGAAGAGAUGGGUGAAGCCGUGAGAAAUAUCCAUGGAAAGGAAGCAGAAAAUAAAAUGGAGCACAAAGAUGAAAAAGGUUUACAGAACACAGACAUCGGGGUAAAUAUAUGUCCGAUCACAGAUUUGAGUGCAGAAGAAGGGGAUGAGGUGCAUGUGCAUGAAGCGGAGUCAACGGAGACGCAUGAGGAAGUAGAAGAUACAAAACCAUUUGAAAUCCAACAGGAUUUCAGGGGAGACGCAGAGUUCACCUCACUGCACGUCGAUCUACAAACGGCCCGCGACAAUAGCGACAUCGAGUCCGAGGAUGAGUCAUACGCUGUUGAGGGCGAUGGCGUUGAGAAGGCGAAGGAGGCGGAUGCUGUCAUUGAGGAGGAAUAUGAGAAAGAGGACUCAAACCACCGCACAACAGAGCCGGAGGACGCCGUCGAAACCCUCGCUGGAGAAAGUGAAAGAGAAGACGUAUUGACUGGGGAUGUUCCACGCUGUGAAGAAGUCGUGCAGAAUGCUGAACCGGAGCCGCGGGCGGCUGACUUCCCGGACGCAGGACAAGUGGAUGUGGCUCCGAACGCUGACGUGCAAACCGAAACCAGAGAGGUGGGUGAAGACGAGACAGAAGACAUGGUGGUCAAAUCUGAUGGGACAACGACGCAAACCUCAGUAAGCGCGGGACUUUUUGAAAAAGAUAAAGUAGAAGAAGAGAGGCUCCUCGGUGAAGAAGGCAAAGAAAGUUUCAUGGACGUGGCAGGUACACUUAACUCCGUUACAGUAGAAUCCGAAGGCGAGACUGCGCAGGAAAUGGCAGCAGCGAUUAAGGAUUUUCCCACGGGGAAAUUUGAAGGCCGGCUCGCUGUCUCGGCGCUCAACUUUCCAUCGUGUGAGGAAACACAAAAGGGAAUUCCUGAGUAUAACAAUGUGCCAGGGCCAGAUGGAAAUACCACACAAGUGCUCCUGGAGGAAGGAGAUUGUGAGGACGCCCAGGGCGAGGUGGGGAGCAAAGCGCCAGAGAGCCUUCAAAACAGUGGCUGUGGAACCGGUGCUGACUAUUUAGUGGUGAUGGAGCAUAUGGAAGAGGAGCAAGAGAGCGUGGGAGAUGUUAAGAACAACUUUGAUUCUGGAUUGCCUCAAGAAACAGAGAAACCGCUCCAAGCAGUAACCCGAGAAUCUGGACACUUAAUUGAGGAGGAGGAAGGAGAAUCUUUGGUUGAUUGUAUGAAGACGGCCAUCGAACACACAGAAAAGGAAUUUGAGAUGCGCAUUGGCCCAACAGACACAAUUAAUAAGGCGAAAAACGAGCCCCAAGAUGGGUUGGAAGAGAUUUUAAUUGACUUAGAAAUAGACGAAGGGUCAUGUGAUCCCAAAGGCAGCAGCAGGACGACAGGAGCUUCAGCAUCAGAGGAAACUUUCCUCAAGGCUGAAGAGCAGAAGAUGACAGAGACUAGCUCCUGUCACGUAGGUGAGCUGACCUCCGAGCAGAACAGAAACAUGGCUCCUAGUUCACUGGAAGACAUAACUGAAUCUGGAUGCUUGAAACGGCACGAUGAGACUGAGGCUGAACUACUUGAAGAUGUAAAAAGACAGGAAGCUGAUGUGAAAGAAGCAGCUAGGGAAGUUGAGCAGGUGGUUGCGGCAGAAGAUGAGAUGCAGAGCCAAAAUGAGAUGGAAUUGUCACAUCAGCAGGUCGAGGAAUCUGUUGGGUCACCGGAGAAGAGCAAUGUACAACCGGACGAAGCACUUGAGAUCAACGAUGAGACUUUAACAGACUCUGAAGCGCCUGAGGAAUCAAAGACGGCAGAGUCCAAAGCAGAAGAUUUCACUUCAGGAGUGGACGAGCGGAGUUGUGCUGAAGAAACUGUCUCCUCAUCCAGCGGAUGUCAGGGUAUGGUCGAUGACGAGGUCCAACAACAAGUAGACCCGCGGACGGGAGAACUAACGGAGCCUUACGAUGAGGAGCAAGGGGAAAUAUCGUCACUGCAGACGGAGAAGGAUGAAGACCAGCGUGUGGAGUCAAAUUCAAGGGAAUCUGAAUUGUUGGGUCACACGGAAACGUCUUCCUCAACAGUAGAGACUGGAUUUGUUCACCAGUCCGGGUCAUUUCAAAGCCUAUAUGACACGUUGGCUAUUGUCUCAGAAUCAGCAGACAUCUCCGAGCUGUCUAGCCUACAACCCAACUGUGAUAUGCGGGACACGUUGAGAGAGGAAGCGGCUGAGACGGGGCAAACGGAUCUGAAGGAGAAGGAAGAAUUCGGAGGGGCAGGAUUUCACCCCGAUUUGGAAGUCCCCUCACCAGAGGCCAAACAUCAGGGAUCCGCUGAAACUGGAUCAGGGAAUGAGAUCGAUGUCGAGGCCUCCGACUCGAAAGACGACGGAGAAGUCGAACCUCAGCCACAGACCGAAAGGAGUUUUCUUUACCAAUUUGAGAAAACCCCGACUGAAGAUGAGCCUCAAGAGUUGGCCGCGUCCGACUCUCCGGAUGAUAUUAAAGGAACAGAACCAGAACAAUCGACAUCCGGCUCAGAGGCGUUGUUAGAGGAUGAAAUAGUGCCGACGGAAUCUCGCUCACAGAGCGACGUCUGCACUGAAUCCGAGAGGAAGCUGCCCUCGGUGGACAAACCCCAGCCCGGGUGGAAUGAAGGAGUUGCCGAGUCAUCCGUUGGGCUCAACAUGGCCGACGGGGCAGAACAUUCAGCGACAACGUCUGAAGAUCAGAUGGAGGUGGAGAGCUCUGCGCUUGACUUUACCGCGCAAAGGUCAAGAAUUUCUGUUAAAAACCCACAUGUACGGCCACCCAAAGAUGCCCGCUCCCUCCUAAAUAUGCCCUCAUUGGAUCCCACACCCUCCCCACACAUGUCUCCCAAAGUCCCUGUAGGUGGGCCUUUGGGAGGCUUGGGCUUUGGAAUAAAACUCCCUGGCCUUGGUGGGGGAUUUCCUGUUUUAAAAAAGACAAAGCUGGUUGGAAGAGAUGAAAAUAGUCCCGAGACCCUAUCACAGGAGACAAAGCCAGAGGAGAGGAGUGACACCGAAGAUGAGACCCAACACAAACCAAAAUGGAUGCCACCAAGACAUCCAGGAUUUGGAAAUCCACUUAUGUCCGAGUUGAAGACCAAACUGAAGAAAACCACAAAAGAGUGAGAAGAAGAUGAAUUGUGAUUAUUGUGUGAGUGAGAAUGUAAUAUGUAAAUUGAGAUAUUUUUGGAACUGAACACAGUGAUGAAAUGUACAUGCCUUGUCAUAAAGCUUAACUAAAGAGUGGUCAUUUUACAUAGCCGUGUUUACAGCAAAUCAAGGAUUAUCUCUCUGGGGUGCGAAAGGACAACAUAAACUAUUGAGGUCCACGUUGUGGACAUGGUUGUGUUGUUGACUGAGUGAACUCAAAAUCACAAACAAUUUCGAUGUGCUAAGAAGCUUAAACAAUUUCUAUUGUGCAGCUCACAACCACCCCCCCCCCCCCCCCCCCGGUCUUUGAAAGCUAUCUAUGUAUACCGUGCAAUUAAUAUGAAUUUCACUUGCUAGAUAUAAGAUAUGUAAUAUGUGGCGUACAUAUUUACAAUUUAUUUUGGAAUUCACCAUAAUAAAAAAACAAAAAAAUCUAUUCAAUUUAAAAUGUAAUUUUAUCAAGACAGUAGGUGGCAGUACUACACCAUAACAUGGACAUUCAUUUUAAACACAUGAAGAAGAAACGUUUAGCUGUGAUUGGUCGGAAUUAACCAAUCGACGUGAAGGAAGCUAGUGACGUGUUUUGAACCAGAGCGGCGCUGCAGUUGUGAGUAACUUUACGAACUUUUCGAUGUUGAGUUUGACACACUGUUGUUCGAUUGGUACAUGUUUCCGUACACGGAUUCGAAUGAAUAAAGAACAUUAAUUAAAGGAUUUCCACGAAUAUAAACCUCCACCAAGAAGCGUCCGGGCUGUUGAGGUAAAGAUGUUUCCGUUCCACCAGCUAACGUUAACACGCUAGCGUUAGCUUAGCCUCCUCUGGGACUGUUUCAUGACAGAGCGUAACGUCGCUAACGUCUCCGUGACCUCUCGAGAUGAAUCUUCAAUAAUUCUUUCUAUCCGCGCGAACUGCGCUGUCUGUGCUCCAGCGUAGUCGGCUGACAUUGCGGUAUUAUUGAAAGACAACAAGGUCAUAUGUCUUCUGCCUCGCUAAACUGAAGGGAAACACAUGUUCAUGUCUGAUCAUAAUUUGCAACCGACACCGGUCAUCGCAUGACCUUUGUCUCUGCUAAUACAGUCUUUUUAAAUUGUCUUAUUGUGUAAACAAGGCGUUUGUUUUGUUGACUGUAACAUAGCCCAGUCGUAAAUCCAGAUUGAUAUGAGAGCUGUAAAUACUUGUGACAUUUUCCCGAUGUAAGUUACGUCAUCUGGUAAUGUCAGUUUUUUUUGUGUGGAUUAAGUCGUUGCAGGCCCGGAGGGUCCUAAUGAACAGCUGGAAAAUGUCUUCUCAGCUGUCAUUCAAUGUCCCAGAUGAAAGCGUGUGCUGGCUGCACGAGGAAUGCUUGCCAGAAGUGACCUUCCUUGAUGUUACAUGUAGUUCACCUCAUCCUGCAGGAAUACCUGCUACACCUGUAACAACCGGGUCUGUGAACAGCAGGUUGAACUCGCUCCAGCCCCCCCAGUCGAGUUCCUCCAUCGACUUACACACCCCUGCUCAGAAAAAGACGCCGGAUCUUCUCAAAUGUUGUUUGAGCCAUCCGAAGGCGGAGAGUGAGGCUAUCGGUGCUAAACCUUCACGACAGAAUGGAACAACAACCUUGUUGGAAACGAGCUCAAGUGACGUUGCUCAAGAAAACUGUUCUGAAUUCCACUCUUCUGAACUGUCAGUCUCUUGCGAUAAGAUGGUUGAUCCCCUUGAGAGUAUGUAUCGUCCGGAGCGCUUUCUGGAUUCCCGAUACUUCCCAGAAAUUACUCUGCUGGAUGUCACGCGUGAAUCAGAGCCCACAGACGGAGGAGAAACCUCUUCAAUGCAUGUCACGCAAGAGAACAUUUUGGAAAGCUCUAGGACCUCGUCGGAGCACAGUGGAUCAAACGAGGUAAAGGUUCACACAUCGGGUGAAGACACAUUUGAUACGCAUCCUUCGAAUGUUACUCAAGACAUAAGCUCCUCGAGUGUUGUGACUGUUCAGUGUGCUGCGUCGGAGUUCUCCACUUCUGACACGCAGUGCGACACCAGUUCAAAGAACGUCGCCUCGGAGCUUCAUGGUGAACCUCCGGGGACAUCGAGCACCGAGGAAGCUAACAACAAAGAGCCGCUUUCCUACCACGAGGCCGAGGAGUUGACAAGCGAGGAGGCGCAACCGCGCCCGGAAACGUGUGGGUCUGUGAGCAGCGCGUUAACUGCUCUCCAGUCCUCCCAUUCCAGUUCUUCCACCAAUUUAAACACCACUGUUCAAAUACCCGACCCUAAGAAUAUGACAGUGGAUCUUACCCCGUCUAAUGCAAACAGCCCCAAAGGAGAGAGCGAGCCUACAGAUCCGGCUACUUCGGUCUCUAAGGAUGCCACUGAAACCUCCCUCUGUAUUAAUCGAACUUUCCCGGCCGUAAAGGCAACCGGUUCGUCUGAUGUGCAGAACAGCAUUUCUGAUGGAAAUUGCCUUCGAAUAUCCUGCGGUAAUACUUUUAUAGGAAACGCUGGCUCUGGGACCCUUCUUCUCCAGAACAACACCUUCGAUGCUAAACCUCCCAAGCAGAACGACACAAUAACUUUGUCAGAAACGAGCCUCCAGAACACUUUUGACAAGUCCACUCCUCCUGGGGUUUGUAAUGCAACGAGUACCCCUAAAGAAAGCAGUUCCAAAGCCCAACCCCCCCGAAGAUGAUGGGACAUCAUCGAGCACAGUCCCUAAUACAGAGACGGCUGACACCCCUGACUGCAUGUUGGAAGUUAGUCCAGCGGUUGAAGUGGCUUCUGGCGAUGGUCAAUGCGAGACUACGAACCGAUCACGAUCCAGUCUGCCUUUGACAAAUGGGCUCUCUGACACUUUGGGCCUUCAAAACAUGGAAACGGAAAACAACAAUGAAAACACGUUCAAUUUGGAUGAAUCCCUGGAUUUAAGGGCAGCCAUUUCGAUCACUUCGACGCCGAUGACCACCUGUAAGAUUUUAAGCGUAACCGCCGAACGAGUGGAGGGCAAAACGAUAGCGGCGCAGAAAAGGCUGUAUGGGGAUGGUCCCGCUUUGCCAGCUGGUCCGACGCCAUCAGAUGUUCCGUCAAACAUCGUCUGCGACCGCAAAACGACGUUUGCCCAUCCAGCGGCCAAAUCCCUCCUGCCUCCUUUCAGAGCUGCGUCCCAGCCUUUGAGGCAGAAGCCAGGCGCCGCCGCCCUCCCCGCGAGGUUUGAUGCGUCGACUUCAGGCCUGCCCAUGACGAGGCAAAGGACCCAGGCUGUAGCAGCGAAGAACACGCUUAAUGCAGCCCAGGUAACAGGAUUUGAUUCGCCUUUUUUAAACAAAAAAAGUGUCAACAUCACAUUGUGUUUUAAAGAAAUUGAUCGCUAAACUUGUUUGUCAUGUCCGUUACACCUAAACCCACUUAUUGACUCCAUUUCCUGUUUAUUUAAGGCCACAGGAGUAUCAAGCUCCUACAAAUUGCGGGCUUCUACAACAGGUAGGCGGUGUGUGUGUUCCAUUUUAGGGCUUCUUAUGGUUGCGGUUUUAUCCUUCAUACAUGUUGAGGGUAAAUUAAAACCGGAUGGGAUGGGAAUUGUACACAUAUCUUAUCUUAUACCUAACUUUUAGGCAUUUUUUCUUAUUGCUGAUUUAAUUUCUGUGCUGCUUUUAGCCGCACAGAGUAUUCAGUCCUCACUCUCCCCCCUCUGUGCUGACGUUAGGAUUGAAGAUACCCAAUUCAGGCUUGCCGAGACCUCAGUUGAGUGGCAUACCGUCAGGCAUCCAGAGACCUGCAGCAGGUCUCAGGCCGCCAUCAGCUAGAAGCAACGCAGCAUCAUCGUCAUCGUCAUCAUCACACGCUAACAGACCCCGUGGACCGACAGGUACUCGUACAGUGGUGGACUGUUUAUUCAGUUACAAAUAAGACCAAAUACACGUGUGUAACAAUGAAUUAACAUAAAUUUGAAUUUCUUUUGUGUUUUUUUUCCUUUUUUUUUUUUUUUUUUCACCCACAAGCAGCUGCUAACCCAAUGACGAAGGCUACACAUUCAAAGAAGCAGCCCUUAGCCAGAGGUGAAACUUUAGCAAAGAAGAAAAGAAUGGGUAAUAAAAGCUUUCAACCAACCCUUUUUUUCUAUUUCAAAGAACUGCACGGUUAGUAUUUCUACUAAAGCUAAACUAUAAACUCCUACAUCUUAAAUUGUUUUUUUAUGGUUUUCAAAACCGGGGCUUGUAUGUUUCUGGGAAAGUGUGUCCAGUACUCUUGACUUUAUGACUUUAUUUGUGCGUUACUCACCAGAUCUUUAUCACACGCUUUCAGAUCCAUCCAGCACGUCUGCGUUAUCCAGCUCUGCUGCCGAGGUCUCAACGUGUUGCGAUGCUGUCGGCAGACACAAGGCCCUGAAACAGCCCGCGACCAGCCAUCAAGCUCUGCAAGCCAAAGGAAAAGGCCACG